AGUCGUAACAAGGUUUCCGUAGGUGAACCUGCGGAAGGAUCAUUAACAAAUCUAUAAAUGUUUGUGAUAUUUUUGUUGUUAUUUAUAAUAGCGCAAAUUUUCACAUAACACUUAAUCCGGAUCUCCGAGAGGAGAUUCGCCUGUAAACAUUGUUUAAUAAUAUAAUAGUAAUAAUAUACUAUUAUUAUUAUUAUGAUAUUGUCUACAGAAAUAGGCUAUGUAUUGUAUGUCUUAUAAACAAAAAUUAUUAAAUUAUAACAACUUUUAACAAUGGAUCUCUUGGCUCUU
rnacentral:misc_RNA from 1 species